rnacentral:rRNA from 1 species
CGUAACAAGGUUUCCGUAGGUGAACCUGCGGAAGGAUCAUUACCUAGAGUUGUAGACUUCGGUCUGCUACCUCUUACCCAUGUCUUUUGAGUACCUUCGUUUCCUCGGCGGGUCCGCCCGCCGAUUGGACAACAUUCAAACCCUUUGCAGUUGCAAUCAGCGUCUGAAAAAACAUAAUAGUUACAACUUUCAACAACGGAUCUCUUGGUUCUGGCAUCGAUGAAGAACGCAGCGAAAUGCGAUAAGUAGUGUGAAUUGCAGAAUUCAGUGAAUCAUCGAAUCUUUGAACGCACAUUGCGCCCCUUGGUAUUCCAUGGGGCAUGCCUGUUCGAGCGUCAUUUGUACCUUCAAGCUCUGCUUGGUGUUGGGUGUUUGUCUCGCCUCUGCGUGUAGACUCGCCUUAAAACAAUUGGCAGCCGGCGUAUUGAUUUCGGAGCGCAGUACAUCUCGCGCUUUGCACUCAUAACGACGACGUCCAAAAGUACAUUUUUACACUCUUGACCUCGGAUCAGGUAGGGAUACCCGCUGAACUUAAGC